rnacentral:misc_RNA from 1 species
UCCAGCUUAUCGCUGGCGGUCUCCUGCGAGUUCCCAACUGAAUGAUGGCAACACAGGACAAGGGUUGCGCUCGUUGCGGGACUUAACCCAACAUCUCACGACACGAGCUGACGACAGCCAUGCAGCACCUCGACUCAAGUCUCUUGCGAGAAGACAAUGUUUCCAAAGUUGAUCUUAAGCCGUUCGAGCCCAGGUAAGGUUCUUCGCGUUGCGUCGAAUUGAACCACAUGCUCCACCGCUUGUGCGGGCCCCCGCCAAUUCCUUUGAGUUUCAACCUUGCGGCCGUAGUCCCCAGGCGGUUCACUUAAUGCGUUAGCUGCGGCACUGAAAGAUAACUCCCAACACCUAGUGAACAUAGUUUACAGCGUGGACUAC